rfam:Aedes albopictus isolate Foshan contig134191, whole genome shotgun sequence.
GGCUCGGUAGCUUGGUUGGUAAAGCACUUGUCUAGCGAAUAAGGGUCGUUAGUUCAAAUCUCACCUGAGGUG